UUGGCGACAUUUCAUCAAUUAACCGAUUUAUGCCAGUAUUUAAAUUCAGGCAAAAUCUAUUAGCUUUGCAGCCUUUGGCUGUCAGGAAUAUAUUUUAUGCUUAAUAAACAUCACUUUCACCAGAUUAUAAUCAAUGAAUGUAUAAUCAACUCACGAUUCGCUUCUCUUAUCAUUUUACAUAGACAUCUGCCCCAUGCAUAUUAUUCUAUGUUAGCACAAUGAUAAUAUUACAGGACAUCAAAAAGACUUUAGGGCGGCAUUACAAUAUCACAAUCUUAAACGAACGUGGUAAGCAUGGGCGUUAACGUCAGACAAUAUAAACAUUAAAACAAUAUAUACGACAGAAAUCAAUCAUUGUCAAUAGUUGCAGCUGAAAUUUACUGCAAUCGUUCAAACUAUAUAAAUGAGUCCGAUAAAUUAUCCAUUCGGCUUCUUGCGUUGUCUGUUCCUG
rnacentral:lncRNA from 1 species